GAUGAACGCUGGCGGCGUGCCUAAUACAUGCAAGUCGAGCGAACAGACGAGGAGCUUGCUCCUCUGACGUUAGCGGCGGACGGGUGAGUAACACGUGGAUAACCUACCUAUAAGACUGGGAUAACUUCGGGAAACCGGAGCUAAUACCGGAUAAUAUAUUGAACCGCAUGGUUCAAUAGUGAAAGACGGUUUUGCUGUCACUUAUAGAUGGAUCCGCGCCGCAUUAGCUAGUUGGUAAGGUAACGGCUUACCAAGGCAACGAUGCGUAGCCGACCUGAGAGGGUGAUCGGCCACACUGGAGCUGGGACACGGUCCAGACUCCUACGGGAGGCAGCAGUAGGGAAUCUUCCGCAAUGGGCGAAAGCUUGACGGAGCAACGCCGCGUGAGUGAUGAAGGUCUUCGGAUCGUAAAACUCUGUUAUUAGGGAAGAACAAAUGUGUAAGUAACUAUGCACGUCUUGACGGUACCUAAUCAGAAAGCCACGGCUAACUACGUG
rnacentral:rRNA from 1 species